rnacentral:lncRNA from 1 species
CCGUGCGAUCCAACCUCUCUUUUGUAUCCGCCAUAGCUAUCUCAAGUUUAGCUAACCGAGCUUCAAAACUAGCAAGAUAGUCACGAGAUUUACCUCUCUUGUGUGGUGGUGGGACGGUGCGCUCCUCCUCGCGACCCUUGCAAACUUGCUCCUCACUGCCGCUAGCCAUGUCGUGAAUAUGCCCAGCUAACCCACGAACCCUUUCGUAGCGUUGCUCUGAUACCAACUGUCACGGACCGGAUAACUCCCUAGCUAUCUUCCGUGCGGCCUUAGUCACAANNNN